rnacentral:rRNA from 1 species
UGGUGACUGGUGCACAGCUGCCGCGGUGAGACGGAAGGUGCGAGCGUGAUCCGUGAUCACUGGGUGUACAGCUCGCGUGGGUGGAUGUGUAAGGGAGUUGUUGAAUCGGGUGGAAGAAACAUAUCGUGUCAAUUCAUAGUGUGGAACUAGAGGACGGCAGAGGCAAGUGGAACUAGCAGUGUAGCAGGGACAUGCGUUGAUAUUGCUAAGAACACCAAUGGCGAAGGCAGCGUGCUGGGCCACUCCUGACACUGAGUUACGAAAGCGUGGGGAGCGAACAGGAUUAGAUACCCUAGUAGUC